UGUUUUGUAGGUGCAGUUUUGUCAAAGAUCAAGGAGGAAGAAAUUUGCAUCCACAAAUUGGUGCUUUCAUUGAGAGAAGAAAUCCACACUCGUACAAGACUUUCGCAUAAAAAAAGAUACAGAUCAAUAACUUGAGUAAUGUUGUGGAUGAGUUUCUAAGUUUUGAAACCGGCAUCGGAAAUGUUCUUUGAACGACAAAGUUCACUCAAGAAGUUCAUUGGUGAACCAGGAGACCCAGCACCGACUGUCGAUGGGACCCCAAGCUGAGCUGCUUCCUGUGCACAUUACUGGUCCUUCUGAAACAUAAAAAAUUUAGAGAAAAAUCAUCCAAAUUGCAAGAAGCAAUCACAGUACGAUUCCUGAAUGAUGCAUGCUUAACUGAGAGUAUGCAUCAAAUUUUGAUAGAUCUACAGAUGGAUCAUUGAAGCAAUGCAUGGCAGCUGCCCAACCUGCAUUUGAAGACAUGCAAUUAUAACCAAACCUCAUGCAAGUAACACCAAAAAAGAAAAAAAAAAACCCUCUGUUAUUAAUCUUUAGUUAAUCAUGUACAAAGUCCCAGCAAUUUUUCACGCAUAAAGAAUUUUUAGUCCAAGCUCCAAAGAAAAUACUCUUAGGUCAACUAAUGAUAAUCUUUACCUUCUUUGUAACUUUCUGAAAAGUCAAAAGAAACGUGGGUGGGGGGGUUCAGGGGCUUGCAUCCCUAUUUUCACCUUUAACUUUUUGUAAAUGGUAAUCGGAGAAAGGAAUCGCCAGCAAGAAUUUAAAUGUACAACCUAAACCCUAAACCCUCAACAGCUGUCCCUGCUUUAUGGAAAUGAACUUUAAUUUCACUACUUCAUUUGUAUAAAAAUACUAACAAUAUGA